rnacentral:rRNA from 1 species
UACGUAGGGGGCAAGCGUUGUCCGGAUUCAUUGGGCGUAAAGGGCGAGUAGGUGGUUAUGCAAGUCGGAUGAUGAAAACCUCCAGGCUCAACCUGGAGACGCCACCCGAUACUGCAUUGACUAGAGUUCGGUAGGGGAUCACGGGAAUAACCUGGUGUAGCGGUGAAAUGGCGCAGAGUAUCAGGUGGAACACCGGUGGCGAAGGCGGUGAUCUGGGCCGACACUGACACUGGAAUCGACGAAAGCGUGGGGAGCGAACAGG